rnacentral:lncRNA from 1 species
AGCGAGGGGGGCCACGUUCAUCAUCGAGCUGUCUUGCCAAUAAUUGCAUUUGCAAACUCAUCAUGAGCUUUGCGGAAAGGGUCACCGAAUGGCGAGCUGAGGGUGUUUAACGCGGAGGUGGUCCCUCACCCGGGGAUCUCUGGACUGUUCAUUUCAGGAUUCUUGCGCAAGAGUUGCUUUCCUGUUUCUUCUUCAGUUCUGCUUUCAUGUACUUCUUCAUAAAUUUGCUUGCCUGAUUAUCCAGCUGCCCUGCCAUCCCUAUGAAGAAGCUUAAAGAGCUGAAACCUACUUUUUAAGGA